rnacentral:lncRNA from 1 species
AUGUCAUAUUCAUCAAAGGCAUCUGUUCCUGUUGGUUCCACAGCUGCUGCAGUUCCUACUGAUCAAUCACACUCAGUCGUUCCUUCUGGUACCUCAACUACUGAAGUCCUUGCACAUCUUUCAAGAACAACUCUUCAUAGUAAUGUUUCAAACAAUGCAAUUCCCACUGAUAGACAAAGCACAACUAUUCAUACCAAAACCUCAGCCACUGUAGUUCCUGCUGAUCUGUCAAGCACAAUAUCACCUACUGGUUUUACAGACACUGCAGUCGCUACUGGCCCAUCAGACUCAGUUUCCCCUGGUCCUUCAAACAGUGCAGUUUCUGCCAGUCUAUCAAACACAACUACUUCUAAUUAUUUUUCAAGCAAUGUGGUCCCUACAGAUCAACCAAGCACAACUGUUCAUACUGGAACCUCAAACACUGCAGUUCCUAUUGAAUUGUCAAUCACAACUGCUCCUAUUGCCUCUUUCAUCACUAAAGGUCCUACCAAUCAAUCAGCUGAUCCUCCUGGUCCCUUUACCAGUGAAGUACCUACUGAUUUAACAGUCACAACUGUUUCCUCAAUCACAGCAGAUCAUACUGAUCUAUCAAGCACUACUUUUCCUAUUAGUCCCACCCCCCCCACAGUACCUACUAAUCAGUCAAUCACAACUAUUCCUCUAGGCCUUUCAAACAGUGCUGCUCUUCCCAGUCUAUUAACCACAAUAGUUCCUACUGAUCUGUCAAACAGAACUGUUCCUAAUGACCAUUCAAGUAUCUCAGGUCAUACUGAACAUUUAAGCAUGACUAUUCCUAUUGGUCCCUCAACUACUACAGUUCCCACUAAUCAUUCAAACACAACUGUUCAGCCAGGCUAUUCCACCUCUACAGUGACAACAUAUCCCUCAAGCACAAUUAUUCUGCUUGAUAAGAUCAACACCACUGUCUCUACUAAUCUGUCAAGCAAAGUAAUUUCUAAUCCUUAUACAAAUACUACAAUUUCAACAAAUACAUCAAUCACAACUGCUCCAGAUGGCCAUUCAAACAAUGCAGUUCAUACAGUUUUAUCAAACACAACUAUUUCUGCUGGAAUGUCAAGUAGUGUACAUCAUAAAGAUGUAUCAAACACAACUGUUCUUUCUAGUCCAUCUGGCACUACAUUGUCCAUAUCCAGUGCAGCUGGUAAUCAUAUCACUACAUCUGUAAUAUUUUCAAACUCAACACACUCUAAAGUUGUCACCACCUCAACCACAUCUUCACUGCGAACCACUCAUCUAUCAACUAAAGCCUCAACGGGUUCAGCAGUAGCAGGCGAGGGAUUUGUUAUUCUGCAGAUCCGUUUACAGAGACAAUACAUUGAUGCUUACAAUAAUCCUGCUUCUAUGGAGUACCAGAUUCUGUCCAAAAACAUCACUAUUGAGCUCAAUCGAAUCUACCGGGAAAUUUAUGGGACCCGCUUCCUCAGAUGCUACGUGAUAAGAUUAUGGCCUGGGUCAGUGGGUGUGGAUACAGAACUUAUUUUUAAAAACCAGUCUGUGCUUCCAAAUGCAACAAGCAUUGAAGAAUCUCUAAAGACAG